rnacentral:rRNA from 1 species
AAAUUGAAGAGUUUGAUCAUGGCUCAGAUUGAACGCUGGCGGCAGGCCUAACACAUGCAAGUCGAACGGUAACAGGAAACAGCUUGCUGUUUCGCUGACGAGUGGCGGACGGGUGAGUAAUGUCUGGGAAACUGCCUGAUGGAGGGGGAGAACUACUGGAAAAGGGAGGUAAUACCGCAUAAAGACGCAAGACCAAAGAGGGGGACCUUCGGGCCUCUUGCCAUCGGAUG